rnacentral:lncRNA from 1 species
GAGAAUCUCGAGGAGAAAAUACCAAUAAGCCUAAUUUCAAUUUCGGAUGGAGUGGAGUCCAACCGUGAUAGAAAAGAUCGAAUCAAAAAAUUAAAGAGUAUAUCAAGUUCUAUGCCAGGCAAUCUGCAGAAAUUGAUUGAAAGUCUUAAUCAGUCGGCCAAUCAUGAUGAUCAAGUAUCUUGUGUCAUAGCAGAUUUAACACUUAAAGGAGCACUGGAAGUAGCCAAGAAGAUGGGCAUUAAGCGAGCUGGGGUACUACCUUAUGGAGUAGGAAACUUGGCCUUGCAACUACAUGCUCCAAAGCUUAUCGAGGAUGGAAUCAUAGAUGCUGAUGGUAAGAAUAUGACUGACUCUAUGUUUCUAACUUCAAUUUGUUCGUCAGAUUAUGUUUAGGUGAGUCAAUAUGUAGAGAAAAUAAUUUAACUCAUUUUGAUAGGAACACUUGUAAUUCUUCUGCA